CUACCAUGCAGUCGACGGUAACAUAUAUACUAGCUAUGCUAGAAGAUGACGAGUGGCGGACGGGUGAGUAAUGCUUGGGAACUUGCCUUUGCGAGGGGGAUAACAGUUGGAAACGGCUGCUAAUACCGCAUAAUGUCUUCGGACCAAACGGGGCUUCGGCUCCGGCGCAAAGAGAGGCCCAAGUGAGAUUAGCUAGUUGGUAAGGUAACGGCUUACCAAGGCGACGACCUCUAGCUGUUCUGAGAGGAAGAUCAGCCACACUGGGACUGAGACACGGCCCAGACUCCUACGGGAGGCAGCAGUGGGGAAUAUUGCACAAUGGGGGAAACCCUGAUGCAGCCAUGCCGCGUGUGUGAAGAAGGCCUUCGGGUUGUAAAGCACUUUCAGUUGUGAGGAAAAGUUAGUAGUUAAUACCUGCUAGCCGUGACGUUAACAACAGAAGAAGCACCGGCUAACUCCGUGCCAGCAGCCGCGGUAAUACGGAGGGUGCGAGCGUUAAUCGGAAUUACUGGGCGUAAAGCGCACGCACGCGGUUUGUUAAGCUAGAUGUGAAAGCCCCGGGCUCAACCUGGGAUGGUCAUUUAGAACUGGCAGACUAGAGUCUUGGAGAGGGGAGUGGAAUUCCCUGUGUAGCGGUGAAAUGCGUAGAUAUCUUGGAGGAGCAUCAAUGGCGAAGGCUACUCCCUUGGGCUAAGGACCGGACGGCUCUAAUGGUCCAAAGUGUGUGGGUAAGCUGAACCCGGAAUAAGUUCCCUUGGUUAGUCCCAACCUCGUUAACGCCUUGUCUAACUAACCUUUGUGCUGUUUCUUAAGACUGUGCGUAUCGCGAACUCUAACCGACUCUAAGUAAACCGCCUUGGAGAUUAC
rnacentral:rRNA from 1 species